rnacentral:rRNA from 1 species
GAUGAACGCUAGCGGCAGGCUUAACACAUGCAAGUCGAGGGGUAUAGGUUUUCGGACCUAGAGACCGGCGCACGGGUGCGUAACGCGUAUGCAAUCUACCUUGUACAGGGGGAUAGCCCAGAGAAAUUUGGAUUAAUACCCCAUAGUAUUAUAGAAUGGCAUCAUUUUAUAAUUAAAGUUCCAUCGGUACAAGAUGAGCAUGCGUCCCAUUAGCUAGUUGGUAUGGUAACGGCAUACCAAGGCUACGAUGGGUAGGGGUCCUGAGAGGGAAAUCCCCCACACUGGUACUGAGACACGGACCAGACUCCUACGGGAGGCAGCAGUGAGGAGUAUUGGUCAAUGGACGCAAGUCUGAACCAGCCAUGCCGCGUGCAGGAUGACGGUCCUAUGGAUUGUAGACUGCUUUUGUACAGGAAGAAACACUCCUACGUGUAGGAACUUGACGGUACUGUAAGAAUAAGGAUCGGCUAACUCCGUGCCAGCCGCCGCGGUAA